GGCCUUGUAUUCAAUUAUGAUUUUGGAUUGCAAAUUCGAGGGUGAGUUAAUGCUCUAAGGCUU
rnacentral:tRNA from 1 species